UGCCAGACUCCUACGGGAGGCAGCAGUGGGGAAUAUUGGGCAAUGGGCGCAAGCCUGACCCAGCAACGCCGCGUGAAGGAAGAAGGUUUUCGGGUUGUAAACUUCUUUUGACAGGGAAGAGUAGAAGACGGUACCUGUCGAAUAAGCCACGGCUAACUACGUGCCAGCAGCCGCGGUAAUACGUAGGUGGCAAGCGUUGUCCGGAUUUACUGGGUGUAAAGGGAGCGUAGACGGUUGUACAAGUCUGAUGUGAAAGCCCACGGCUCAACUGUGGGAGUGCAUUGGAAACUGUAGAACUAGAGUAUCGGAGAGGCAAGUGGAAUUCCUAGUGUAGCGGUGAAAUGCGUAGAUAUUAGGAGGAACACCAGUGGCGAAGGCGGCUUGCUGGACGAAAACUGACGUUGAGGCUCGAAAGCGUGGGGAGCAAACAGGAUUAGAUACCCGCGUA
rnacentral:rRNA from 1 species